UUCUUUAAGAACCUAAUUUAAAGUAAGACCUGCUCAACGACAACUUUAGUAGCCGCAGUUAACUGUGCUAAGGUAGCAUAAUCACUUGCUUCUUAAUUAGAAGAUGGAAUGAAUGGUCAAACACUUAAAAAAUGUUACUUAAUAAAAAAUUAAACUAAUAAAGAGAUAAAAAAUUCUCUAUAAAAUAGUGGGACGACAAGACCCUGCUAAACUUGAAAUUUAGUUGGGGAAACUACAUAAACAAACUUUAUCAAAAUAUAACAAAUAAC
rnacentral:rRNA from 1 species